UCCGGCUUGACGCCGGCAGUCCCCGUAGAGUCCCCGACUUUACUCGCUGGUAACUACGGGCAAGGGUUGCGCUCGUUGCGGGACUUAACCCAACAUCUCACGGCACGAGCUGACGACAGCCAUGCACCACCUGUGCACAGGCCCCGAAGGGCUGCCGUGUUUCCACGACAUUCCUGUGCAUGUCAAGCCCAGGUAAGGUUCUUCGCGUUGCGUCGAAUUGAACCACAUGCUCCACCGCUUGUGCGGGCCCCCGUCAAUUCCUUUGAGUUUUAGCCUUGCGGCCGUACUCCCCAGGCGGGGCACUUAGUGCGUUAGCGACGGCGCGGGAGGAGUCGACACCUCCCACACCUAGUGCCCAUCGUUUACGGCGUGGACUAC
rnacentral:misc_RNA from 1 species